UGAAAAUCAACAAUUAUUGUAUUUGAAUAAACUUUGAAAUUUUUGAACAUAUUGAUUUUGGAAAAUUAUGAUAAUAAGUAGGAUGUUUCGAAUAAUAAUAAACAAAAUAACUUUAAACCUUUAUGCUGCAAGAAAUGGAAUUUCUACAGUGACAUUAUCUAAAUGAUAUACUUUCAACGGUAACAUGUAUUGUUAAUUCUAUUUGAUAAAUAUUAACUCAUUGACAAAUUAAUUUAAGGUUUCAUCUUUCAUUUCUAAUAAGAUACAUCACUGAUACAAUCGCAGAUGAUGGUACUGCAUUACAUAUCUUUUGGUGUAGCAAUACUUCUGAUGGUGUGCUGUGUCAUAUAUCUGCCUUCGAUACCAAACACUGCCCCAAGCAAUACAGCAAGUAUUGACAGAUACAGCCUGAAAGUCGGUAUUGUCAAACUUGUGAAGAAUCCAUCGGUAUGGUGUAUAGCAGCAGUUUACGGCAUUCCUGUAGGAUUUUUCGCCAACUGGUCAUCAAUUUUAGAUGUUGUAUUGAGUUCGUACGGAAUUUCCCAGGUAACCUUGAUUGAGCAUCUGGUCUAGUAAAAUACUGAAGAUAGUUUCAAAGCGGGUUAUUGAUCAAAGUUUCUUCUGCGGAAUGUAUGUCAGAAAGCAUGGUUAAAUGCGGCAGUUAGAUGAAUCAUUUUAAUCCAUAUUUACGUUUACUUAUAAAAACGUUAAUUCAUUCAAAAGAGAAGCACUGCACUGUCCACUUUUUCCUCAGAUUUAUAGAGUAUUCAAAUGUAGUGAUGAAUUUAACUACAUUAUAAUUUUUGCAAAUAUAAAUAUGUGAUUUUGGUAAAAUUGUAUUCAAGUUGAAUUUAAUUACAUUUAUAACUUUUAUAUUCAAUAGGAAAAAAUCCUAUUGCGUGACAAUAUUUUACACUAAUCAGGCUGAUGCUGGCUAGAUGAAUUUCUAUGGUUCAAUAAGUGGCGCAGUGUGUGGAGUUCUCAUCGGAAGGUUGUUUCUAGAUUUUGUUGAUUGACACUGUGUCAUGUCUGUCAAAGAAAAAGGGGACAGUUUUGCAAAUAUUGAAAUAACAUACAUUUCUGUAUAAAAGCUCAUUGAAGUAAUUUUAGUAUCAUUUAUCAGCAAUUAUCAAAGUAAGAAUGAAAAAAAAAAAAAAAACUUAUUGCAUUAUACUCCUGUUGAUCAUAUUGCAUUAUACUCCUGUUGAUCACUUAUCGCUAGUUUAUCUUCUGUCAUUAAGUUUCAUUAACAGCCUUGUCACCAAGAUAAUAGGUCAACGUCAUGAUAGAUAUAACAAAACAAAAAAUCUAUGAUGGUUUCUUUAAAAGGUUUGUCGACUGCAUUCAAAAGAUAACGAAAGUAGUCAUCAUUGUGCUGUAUAUUUGUGCCGCGGUGGAUUUUGCAUUGUUCACAUGUAUGUGUGUAGACAUCCUUCCACAAUCCAAAGGAGGAUUUUACUCAACUGUUAUUAUCGGAGCCACAAUAGUGAACGCUUGCGUGCCACUUUUCCUUGAAAUAACGUGCGAGUCCUCGUAUCCUGUAGCUGAAGGAGUUACUGCAGGUUUCCUAGGAAUGGUAACAAAUAUUGGAGCGACGGUGUUUAUGUAGAACUUAUUCCUAACGUAGACACAGGAUGGGCAAACUGGGCUCUUGUCGGUGUUUAUAUCGCUGCUGUUCCACUCAUGGCUUUGUACAAAGCUGAAUAUAAAAGAGUUGACAUUGACAUUAUAAAAGAUGUAUCGGUAUCUUGAAAUGUUUACUAUGAAACAAAUAGUAUAUUG